rnacentral:rRNA from 1 species
CCUACGGGUGGCAGCAGUGAGGAAUAUUGGUCAAUGGGCGGAAGCCUGAACCAGCCAAGCCGCGUGAAGGAAGAAGGUUCUAUGUGUUGUAAACCUCUUUUGUCCGGGAACAAAGCUGGAUACUAGUCUUCGGCUGAGGGUACCUGAAGAAAAAGCAUCGGCUAACUCCGUGCCAGCAGCCGCGGUAAUACGGAGGAUCCAAGCGUUAUCCGGAUUUAUUGGGUUUAAAGGGUGCGAAGGCGGCCUGUUAAGUCAGCGGUAAAAGGCCGGGGCUAAACCCCGGCGUGCCGUUGAAACUGGCGAGCUGGAGUGGGGGAGAAGUAGGCGGAAUGCACGGUGUAGCGGUGAAAUGCUUAGAGAUCGCACAGAACCCCGAUUGCGAAGGCAGCGUACCGGCUCCACACUGACGCUGAGGCACGAAAGCGUGGGGAGCGAACAGGAUUAGAUACCCUUGUAGUC